GAUGAAGAACGCAGCGAAAUGCGAUAAGUAAUGUGAAUUGCAGAAUUCAGUGAAUCAUCGAAUCUUUGAACGCACAUUGCGCCCGCCAGUAUUCUGGCGGGCAUGCCUGUUCGAGCGUCAUUUCAACCAUCAAGCCCCCGGCUUGUGUUGGGGACCUGCGGCUGCCGCAGGCCCUGAAAAGCAGUGGCGGGCUCGCUGUCACACCGAGCGUAGUAGCAUACAUCUCGCUCUGGGCGUGCUGCGGGUUCCGGCCGUUAAACCACCUUCAUAACCCAAGGUUGACCUCGGAUCAGGUAGGAAGACCCGCUGAACUUAAGCAUAUCAAUAAGCGGAGAA
rnacentral:misc_RNA from 1 species